GGCGACGUAGCUCAGCUGGUUAGAGCGCACGACUCAUAAUCGUGAGGUCGAGAGUUCAAGUCUCUCUGUCGCCACCA
rnacentral:tRNA from 9 species